rnacentral:rRNA from 1 species
AGAGUUUGAUCCUGGCUCAGAGUGAACGCUGGCGGCGUGCUUAACACAUGCAGAGUCGAACGAGAACGGCUCUAGCUUGCUAGAGUGUCAGCUAAGUGGCGGACGGGUGAGUAAUGUAUAGUUAAUCUGCCCUUUAAGGGGGAUAACAGUUGGAAACGACUGCUAAUACCCCAUACUCCUUUCUACUUAAUGUAGUUUGGGAAACGUUUAUUUCGCUAAAGGAUGAGACUAUAUGGUAUCAGGUAGAUUGGUGGGGUAAGAGCCUACACAAGCCAAUGACAGCCUAUGCUGGUCUGAGACGGAUGAUCAGCCACACUGGAACUGAGACACGGAUCCAGACUCCUACGGAGAGUGCACCAGUGGGGAAUAUUGCACAACUGGAGGAAACUCUGAUGCAGCAACACCGCGUGGAGGAUGACACAUUUUCGGUGCGUGAAACUCCUGUGAGAUAUGGGAAAGGAUAAUGACGGGUACCAUAUGAAUANAGCACGCGGCUNAACUCCGUGCACAAGCAGCCGCGGUAAUACGGAGGGUGCAAGCGUUACUCGGAAUCACUGGGCGUAAAGCGCGCGCAGGCGGCCUUUUAAAGUCGGAUGUGAAAGCCUAUGGCUCAACCAUAGCAACUGCAUCCAAAACUAUCAGGCUAGAGAUGUGAGGAGAGGAAGAUGGAACUCACGUUGUAGUCAGGGGUAAAAUCCGUAGAGAUAACUAGGAAUACCAAAAGCGAAAGGCAAUACUUCUGGAACAUUACUGACGCUGAGGCUGCGAAAGCGUGGGGACGCAAACAGGAUUAGAUAUCCCUGGUAGUCCACAGCCCUAAGACGAUGACAUGUUAGUUCGUACGGGUAGACUAGAUCUAUUCGGUGAUGCAGACUACACGCAUUAAACAUUCCGCUGGGUGAGUACGGUCGCAAGAUUAAAACUCAAAGGAAUAGACGGGGACCCGCACAAGUGGUGGAGCAUGUGGUUUAAUUCGAAGAUACGCGAAGAACCUUACAUAGCCUUGACAUAUAUUAGAACAUUUUAGAGAUAAGAUGGUGCCUUCGGGAGCUUUUAUACAGGUGCUGCACGGCUGUCGUCAGCUCGUGUCGUGAGAUGUUGGGUUAAGUCCCGCAACGAGCGCAACCCUCUGUCACGUAUGUUACUAACGGUUUCGGCCGAGGUACUUUAGUGAGACUUGCCUUCNGCAAGGAGGAGGAAGGUGAGGACGACUGUCAAUGUCAUCUAUGGCCCUUACGGUCUAGGGCAACACACUGUGCGUACAAUGGCCAGGACAAUGAGAAGCAAUACCGCGAGGUGGAGCAAAUCUAUANACCGUGGUCUCAGUUCGGAUUGUUCUCUGCAACUCGAGAGCAUGAAGCUGGAAUCUACUAGUAAUCGUAGAUCAGCUAUGCGUACUGGUGAAUACGUUCCCGGGUCUUGUACUCACCGCCCGUCACACCAUGGGAGUUGAUCGAUCACCCGAAGCGGGGAAGCUAAACUGGCUACCCUCCACGGUGGAAUCAGCGACUGGGGUGAAGUCGUAACAAGGUAACC